rnacentral:rRNA from 1 species
GAGUGAACGCUGGCGGUAGGCCUAACACAUGCAAGUCGAACGGCAGCACAGUAAGAGCUUGCUCUUACGGGUGGCGAGUGGCGGACGGGUGAGGAAUACAUCGGAAUCUACUUUUUCGUGGGGGAUAACGUAGGGAAACUUACGCUAAUACCGCAUACGACCUACGGGUGAAAGCAGGGGAUCUUCGGACCUUGCGCGAUUGAAUGAGCCGAUGUCGGAUUAGCUAGUUGGCGGGGUAAAGGCCCACCAAGGCGACGAUCCGUAGCUGGUCUGAGAGGAUGAUCAGCAACACUGGAACUGAGACACGGUCCAGACUCCUACGGGAGGCAGCAGUGGGGAAUAUUGGACAAAGGGCGCAAGCCUGAUCCAGCCAUACCGCGUGGGUGAAGAAGGCCUUCGGGUUGUAAAGCCCUUUUGUUGGGAAAGAAAAGCAGCAGGUUAAUACCCCGCUGUUCUGACGGUACCCAAAGAAUAAGCACCGGCUAACUUCGUG